rnacentral:rRNA from 1 species
GGAUAACUUACCCUUUAGGACUGGGAUAACUCUGGGAAACUGGGGAUAAUACCGGAUAUUAGGCUAUGUCUGCAAUGGUUUGCCUUUGAAAUGUUUUUUUCGCCUAAGGAUAGAUCUGCGGCUGAUUAGGUCGUUGGUGGGGUAAUGGCCCACCAAGCCGAUGAUCGGUACGGGUUGUGAGAGCAAGGGCCCGGAGAUGGAACCUGAGACAAGGUUCCAGACCCUACGGGGUGCAGCAGGCGCGAAACCUCCGCAAUGUACGAAAGUGCGACGGGGGGAUCCCAAGUGUUAUGCUUAAAGGUAUGACUUUUCAUUAGUGUAAAAAGCUUUUAGAAUAAGAGCUGGGCAAGACCGGUGCCAGCCGCCGCGGUAACACCGGCAGCUCGAGUGGUAGCUGUUUUUAUUGGGCCUAAAGCGUUCGUAGCCGGUUUAAUAAGUCUUUGGUGAAAGCUUGUAGCUUAACUAUAAGAAUUGCUGGAGAUACUAUUAGACUUGAAGUCGGGAGAGGUUAGAGGUACUACCGGGGUAGGGGCGAAAUCCUAUAAUCCUGGGAGGACCACCUGUGGCGAAGGCGUCUAACUGGAACGAUCUUGACGGUGAGUAACGAAAGCCAGGGGCGCGAACCGGAUUAGAUACCCGGGUAGUCCUGGCCGUAAACGAUGUGGACUUGGUGUUGGAAUGGCUUUGAGUUGUUCCGGUGCCGAAGGGAAGCUGUUAAGUCCACCGCCUGGGAAGUACGGUCGCAAGAUUGAAACUUAA